rnacentral:rRNA from 1 species
GAUGAACGCUGGCGGCGUGCCUAAUACAUGCAAGUCGAGCGAACAGACGAGGAGCUUGCUCCUCUGACGUUAGCGGCGGACGGGUGAGUAACACGUGGAUAACCUACCUAUAAGACUGGGAUAACUUCGGGAAACCGGAGCUAAUACCGGAUAAUAUAUUGAACCGCAUGGUUCAAUAGUGAAAGACGGUUUUGCUGUCACUUAUAGAUGGAUCCGCGCCGCAUUAGCUAGUUGGUAAGGUAACGGCUUACCAAGGCAACGAUGCGUAGCCGACCUGAGAGGGUGAUCGGCCACACUGGAACUGAGACACGGUCCAGACUCCUACGGGAGGCAGCAGUAGGGAAUCUUUCGCAAUGGGCGAAAGCCUGACGGAGAAACGCCGCGUGAGUGAUGAAGGUCUUCGGAUCGUAAAACUCUGUUAUUAGGGAAGAACAAAUGUGUAAGUAACUAUGCACGUCUUGACGGUACCUAAUCAGAAAGCCACGGCUAACUACGUG